rnacentral:tRNA from 1 species
GAAGGUUUAGCUCAGCUGGGAGAGCACUUGCUUGACGUGCAAGGGGUCAGGGGUUCAAGUCCCUUAACCUUCACCA